CACAGCGGCAGUGCGGAAAAGCACUCCAGCUGCCGGGCCCGGGGUCGGGCCCACAUUUCUACCUGUGAGGGGCAGGAGCAUCAAGAAAAGGCUGCGGAAGGCCCCCCGAGGGUAUAAGCUCAUUGCUCCUUCUCCCUGUAGGCACCAGAGCGGGCAUCCCCGCACCUGGCUCUGCGGGGCUUCCCCGAACGGCGAUUCCCCACACAUUCAUCCACACCUACGCGCAUCAGGCCGAGCCCCGCGUCCCAGAGGAGGGCAGCAGGCCCGUCGUCCCACAGCGGGAUGAGGGCGACUUCCUUCCCCCGAGAUUCUUCCUACGCCUCCUCCCCGUCGGAUCCUGAAACGGCGGGCCGCUCUCUCGGCCGUCCUCUCCCUAUCGCACCGGCCCCAGGAACAGCGCCCUUCCAGCCCGGUCUCAGCCCGGCCCGUGCGGGAUCGGCGCCAGGCCUUCGCAUCUCCAGGCAAACAGCAACGCCACUCUCACAGUGCCCUUACCUGCGGCGGCCGGGCCGGGGCCAACGCUACCCCCAGCACCGCUCAGGCUGGGACCCCCCUGCCCUGGGCUACAGCAGACUCAGAUCUCUGCGCUUCCCGCAGGGCUGCAGGGCUCUUGAAGUUUAAGAAGAAAGUUCUUCCUGCAGAAAAGCUGCAUGAGGGAUCUCCAAAGUUGGCCUCCUGGGACGGAGAGGGACAUUUUUGCCAGCAGGCCUAUUGUCCAGCACUGUAUACCAGCAGAGGAUUCUUAAUGCCUCUCACUUCCAUAACUCAGUCAUGCAAAAAUGAAACCUUUCCCAUAUGGUGAGUAAUCAAAGCAGGGCUCUCAGAUGUGACCUUCCAUUGUACAACAUGCUACCAUCCAUAACAGUGGUGUGUAAGUUAA